rnacentral:rRNA from 1 species
AUUGAACGCUGGCGGCAUGCCUUACACAUGCAAGUCGAACGGCAGCACGGACUUCGGUCUGGUGGCGAGUGGCGAACGGGUGAGUAAUGUAUCGGAACGUACCUUUCAGUGGGGGAUAACGUAGCGAAAGUUACGCUAAUACCGCAUAUUCUGUGAGCAGGAAAGCAGGGGAUCGAAAGACCUUGCGCUGAUUGCGCGGCCGAUAUCAGAUUAGCUAGUUGGUGGGGUAAAGGCCUACCAAGGCGACGAUCUGUAGCGGGUCUGAGAGGAUGAUCCGCCACACGGGAACUGAGACACGGUCCGGACGCCUACGGGAGGCAGCGGUGGGGAAUUUUGGACAAUGGGGGCAACCCUGAUCCAGCCAGGCCGCGUGGGUGAAGAAGGCCUUCGGGUUGUAAAGCGCUUUCGGCCGGGAAGAAAUCGCAUAGACUAAUAGCCUGUGUGGAGGACGGUACCGGAAUAAGAGGCACCGGCAAACUACUG